rnacentral:rRNA from 1 species
UACGAAGGGUGCUAGCGUUGUUCGGAAUUACUGGGCUUAAAGGGCGCGUAGGCGGCCUGCUAAGUCGGACGUGAAAUCCCUCGGCUCAACCGAGGAACUGCGUCCGAUACUGGUGGGCUUGAAUCCGGGAGAGGGAUGUGGAACUCCAGGUGUAGCGGUGAAAUGCGUAGAUAUCUGGAGGAACACCGGUGGCGAAGGCGGCAUCCUGGACCGGUAUUGACGCUGAGGCGCGAAAGCUAGGGGAGCAAACGGG